GACGGAGGGUGCAAGCGUUGUUCGGAAUUACUGGGCGUAAAGGGCGCGUAGGCGGUCUGUUAAGUUCGGUGUGAAAGCCCCCGGCUCACCUGGGGAACUGCGCCGGAAACCGACAGACUCGAGUACCGGAGAGGAGGGUGGAAUUCCUGGUGUAGCGGUGAAAUGCGCAGAUAUCAGGAGGAACACCGGUGGCGAAGGCGGUUCUCUGGCAAUGUUCUGACGGCUGAGGAGCGAAAGUGUCGGGGAGCGAACAGG
rnacentral:rRNA from 1 species